CUCACAUCCCAGCAGGGCUGUGUGCACCCAGGCCAUGAAUGAGCCUUUAAUUAAGUGGAUAUAGAUCACAAAUGUACGACAGGCUGUGGAUCCUUCCUCAGUGCGCCUCAGUGUAUCCUCAGGCUGGAAGCACCCCGUGGCUCAAAGCUUUGCAGGUGGUCGUGUGGGUCAAACCCAGGGUUCCAGCUCCUGUGUAAUGUGAAUUAUGAGAAAUAAGGGAUAUAGGUUACAGGAGAAAAUGGUUUUUUUCCUGCUGAGGAUCCGUGCUGGGGGCAAUGCAAACGUGUGGUCCCACGUGGAGACAUCAAUAGGGGUCACCGACACACUGAUAGGAAAUUAUCUUUGUUCUGGGAGGCUCUGUGUAAAUGUUUUCCUCCCUUGCAGUCUCCUCUCCAACAGCCCCAUCCAUGAUGCUAAUGGCUCUGCUAAUGGCCAAAAUUUGGGGCUGGUCCCGCUUGCUGGUGACCUGCCAAGCCCUUCAAGAACCUCAGCUGAGCAGUGCUUAGGGAGGGGGAGAAGACUGCUCCGUCCAGCAGCAGACACAGAGAAAGAUGAUGGCCAACUCUCAGGAAACCAGAUCUCCCCUAAUCCCCAAAUUGUGUCUCCUGGGGAUCGUUAACCAAACAUCUUGUCCACAGCUUAAUUGCAGCCAAUUAUGCCAGCAGGGAAAAGUGCACCUUCAUUGUCUGGACACAAAGCAAAGCUGAGCAGGAGAGCUGGAUCAAUCUACUCAGAGAAAAUGUAACAAAUGGGGCUUUAUACAAAGAACAAUCCAGGAACAAAAGGAUAUUCCCCUUCCAAACGGUUCAUUGAGUCGGAAGCGAAGCUCAACCUCACAGAGCCCGAGUGAGAUUGCUGCCUGCUCUAAUCAGGCUUCAUCCUAGAGAAUCUGUCUACCUAAGGUUCUUUGAGCAAUGAACUCACUGGAGGAGUGCAGACAUUAAAGCCACUCUCCCAACAGACGCAUCAGAAGACCAGCAGGGCUUCCAGCACAACUAGACUCAACUUUCCUGUCCGUCCAAAAGCAACCAUCAAGCAUAAACUAACACAAAUAUUUAAAAAUCUUUCAGGGUUUCUCUAUACUUUGCAAAGAAAUCACAGUGUGAUAGAAUUUGCUUUCUAAAAGCCAUCCUUUGAAGGUCACCUUAAAAAAUCCCAGGAGAAUGCAAAGCAUGGAGCAAAGACCAAAAUGCCUUAAAAGGAACCUUCCCAGCCAUCAAUUCAGCCCUUGCUAUUGCUGGCAGCCACAUAAUAAAACCUAUUCAUAAAGCUCAAUUUUAAACCACGUGGGCUUCUUGCCUCCACUGCUCCUGCUGGAACCUGUUCCAGGACAUCGCUUUCUCCAAGUUUCAAGACCUGCUAAUUUCCGGACUCUGUUUAUUGAUGGCCAUUUUGUAACCAUUUGGUCCUGGUCCAGCCUGGUCCCUUGGCUCUCCUCCACAUGUGGCACAAUGCCGUGCUGCCCUGCCUGGGGACACUGUUGUGUCCAUUCCCUUCUGUCGGGCAGACCAUGAUGAGAUCUGGGACCCACUGUGGUCCCUUGCAGAUAUAGGACAAGAAGUGGCUAUUCCAAAGAGGAAUUUGGAACAGCUGCCUUGGCUUCCUGCUCUGGGCAGCCUGCUAAAGAGAUCCUAGAGGGAAAAAUGCAUGAGGAAAACUGAGGUCCCUUGGUUUGCUCAGCCCAGAGAAGCAGAGAUUGAAGGGAGGCCUCAUGGUGGCCUACAGAGCUCAUGACCAACAGCUCCUCAUGGUCUGCAGCUCCUUCAUGGAGGUCUACAGCUCCUCAUGUCCCACAGCUCCUCAUGGCCCACAGUUCCCUCAUGGCAGUCUACAGCUCCUCCGUGGUGGGCUACAGCUCAUGUCCUACAGCUCCUCAUGGCCUACAGCUCCUUCAUGGAGGUCUACAGCUCCUCAUGUCCCACAGCUCCUCAUGUCCCACAGUUCCUCAUGGCCCAAAGCUCCCUCAUAGAGGUCUACAGCUCCUUCAUGGAAUUCUGCAGCUCCUACAUGGUGGUCUACAGCUCCUCAUAUCCUACAGCUCCUCAUGGCCUACAGCUCCUCGUGGCCUACAGCUCUUCAUAUCCUAUGGCUCCUCAUUGCCCACAGCUCCCUCAUGGCAGCCUACAGUGCCCUCAUGGCAGCCUGCAUCUUCCUCACAGGAGAGCAGAGGGGCAGGAGCUGACAUCUGCUCUCUGGGGACAGUUUUUGAGGGUCCCCUUCCCAAGUCAUCCCAGAAAACCCCAUACAUCCUGAGUUCCCUGCUCAUACAUCUCGAGAAAGAGGCAGAGAACCCCUCCAUGUGUUGGAUUAGACACAUAAAACCAAGAAUUAUCCUUCACAUCACGAAGGGGAAGCAUUUCUCCAAGAGGUAAGCUCCGGGUUAUACUGGUACUGCAACACUGCACAUUCUCUUGCCCUCAAAGGAGAGAAGAGAUCCUGAGAUAACGAACAGAGUCAGCUGUCAUCCUGGGAAAGCAGAGAAGACAAGAACUUGUAGGUUUUACCUGGGUAUGUCUUCCCAGCCAGGUUCUACACAGUGUGGAAGUGUACAGCCGGAGAGAACAGUAUUCAUCUCCUUCAGCAACAUCAGAGCAAAAUCUACAUUCCCUGCUCUCCCGUAGGGUUUUACAGUGAGAUAUGUGCCUGGCAGUGUGGCAGCUCUCUGCCUCUCUGACAUCUCGCACCGCUCCUUCCCCACUGCAAGGGUCUGAGCAGUGGUUGUCAAGAUCUGCAAGAGCUGGUAAUAAUUGAAGUGGAGACAAAGACCCGCAGGAAACCAUGGCAGCUUCAACAGCAACACCUAUGUAAACAGAAUGGAAUUAAAGUUACUUAAGAAAAUCUUGUAUUUGAUUAUUUUAAAGGAUAUUUUUCACCCCUGGAUUGUUUUAAUUGUGUGUGUUUUCUGAUGUUUCACCAUUUAAUGACAUGACUUCAGUGACAGUACAUAGCACGACAUGCCACUCCAUGUUAAUGGUGACAGAAUGAAAUAUGACACAUCAGCUCCUACUCCUGCCAUGCCAUAAUGUGACAGAGUGUGCCAUACUGAAAAUGCAGCAGUCAAUACAGAUUGUGCUAUUAUUUUGACCAUUUCCCACUUUAUUUUUUAAACAAUUAAGGCAGCUUCUACUUGCUACUAAUUGAGAGAAAUUUUUCUAAGGUGCCGUCUGUUUGUGCUGUAAUGAAAAUAUGACACUUCAAACAAGAAAAGAAGACAAGUGCUUAGCACGCUAAUUAGAGCAGAAACUAUUUUCUACAUCCUAGGAAGGUGACUUGGGCUUAACGCUGAGCAAUGCUACAACCAGCUCCUGCCAUACAGCGUGGCAUUCUCACCUCCAGUUGAGUAUCUCCAAAGCCAUUUGCAAAC
ensembl:lncRNA